rnacentral:sRNA from 1 species
AUAUCUCUCUGUACGGGAAGGAUGAGAAGGUUCGAUUCGAGCGUCAGCGAGAAAGCGUUGCCGCAGGCAACGACCCGAAGGGCGAAGCGCGC